AGCCAGUGAUGACAAAUGUACAAAUUAACUUUUCUGACACCUACUAUGAGAAGCUGAACUCCAGCUCCUGAUUCUAACUUUAUUCUGAGGCUG
ensembl:snoRNA small nucleolar RNA SNORD60